AUACGUAGGGUGCAAGCGUUAAUUGGAAUUACUGGGCGUAAAGCGUGCGCAGGCGGUUUUGUAAGACAGAGGUGAAAUCCCCGGGCUCAACCUGGGAACUGCCUUUGUGACUGCAAGGCUAGAGUACGGCAGAGGGGGAUGGAAUUCCGCGUGUAGCAGUGAAAUGCGUAGAUAUGCGGAGGAACACCGAUGGCGAAGGCAAUCCCCUGGGCCUGUACUGACGCUCAUGCACGAAAGCGUGGGGAGCAAACAGGAUUAGAUACCCUGGUAGUCCACGCCCUAAACGAUGUCAACUGGUUGUUGGGUCUUCAUUGACUCAGUAACGAAGCUAACGCGUGAAGUUGACCGCCGGGGGAGUACGGCCGCAAGGUUGAAACUUAAAGGAAUUGACGGGG
rnacentral:rRNA from 1 species